rnacentral:rRNA from 1 species
GACGAACGCUGGCGGCGUGCCUAAUACAUGCAAGUUGAGCGCUGAAGGCUGGUACUUGUACCAACUGGAUGAGCAGCGAACGGGUGAGUAACGCGUGGCGAAUCUGCCUUUGAGCGGGGGACAACAUUUGGAAACGAAUGCUAAUACCGCAUAAAAACGUUAAACAAAAGUUUUAAGGUUGAAAGAUGCAAUUGCAUCACUCAAAGAUGAUCCCGCGUUGUAUUAGCUAGUUGGUGAGGUAAAGGCUCACCAAGGCGAUGAUACAUAGCCGACCUGAGAGGGUGAUUGGCCACAUUGGGACUGAGACACGGCCCACACUCCUACGGGAGGCAGCAGCACGGAAUCUUCGGCAAUGGACGAAAGUCUGACCGAGCACCGCCGCGUGAGUGCAGAAGGUUCUCGGCUCGUAAAACUCUGUUGGUAGAGAAGAACGUUGGUGCGAGUGGAAAGCUCGUCAAGUGCCGGGACCUAACAAGAAAGGGACGGCUACCCACGU